GCAUCUACAGGGGGAUAACUGAUGGAAACGUCAGCUAAGACCGCAUAGGUGUAGAGAUCGCAUGAACUCUAUAUGAAAAGUGCUACGGGACUGGUAGGUGAUGGACUUAUGGCGCAUUAGCUGGUUGGUAGGGUAACGGCCUACCAAGGCGACGAUGCGUAGCCGACCUGAGAGGGUGACCGGCCACACUGGGACUGAGACACGGCCCAGACUCCUACGGGAGGCAGCAGUAGGGAAUUUUCGGCAAUGGGGGAAACCCUGACCGAGCAACGCCGCGUGAAGGAAGAAGUAGUUCGUUAUGUAAACUUCUGUCAUAGAGGAAGAACGGUGGAUAUAGGGAAUGAUAUCCAAGUGACGGUACUCUAUAAGAAAGCCACGGCUAACUACGUGCCAGCAGCCGCGGUAAUACGUAGGUGGCGAGCGUUAUCCGGAAUUAUUGGGCGUAAAGAGGGAGCAGGCGGCACUAAGGGUCUGUGGUGAAAGAUCGAAGCUUAACUUCGGUAAGCCAUGGAAACCGUAGAGCUAGAGUGUGUGAGAGGAUCGUGGAAUUCCAUGUGUAGCGGUGAAAUGCGUAGAUAUAUGGAGGAACACCAGUGGCGAAGGCGACGAUCUGGCGCAUAACUGACGCUCAGUCCCGAAAGCGUGGGGAGCAAAUAGGAUUAGAUACCCUAGUAGUCCACGCCGUAAACGAUGAGUACUAAGUGUUGGGAGUCAAAUCUCAGUGCUG
rnacentral:rRNA from 1 species